AAGAUCCGGGUGCCCCUGUGCAUGGCGCUCUUCUCUAGUCCGCUCGGCCUGCGCACGGUGCGCUCCGUCAUGCGUUGGUGGCGACGCGCUUGCGGCUGCCGGAAGAGAGGCCCAGGCCUUGCUGCGCUUGUUUACGUGCGCGUGGAAAGGAGGCCUGGCCGAAGGGGAGCGGGCGGUGGGACUGGGGCGAGGAUGGCGCGUGGGUCCCGUGUCCCGCUCUGCGGCCUCGCCACCCUUGGCCCAGCCCUGAAGCACAGAACCUUUGCGGUUAGGAAGGACUUGGGUUUUUCAUAAUUUAGGGAUCACAAAGAUUUUAAAGAUUUAUUCGCUUUAUGUGUAUGCGUGUUUUGCCUGCGUGUAUAUAUGUGCACCACAGGCAUACCUGGUCCCCGCAGACAGAAGAGGACAUCAUAUCCCCCAGAACUGGAGUUAUGGACGGUUGUGAGUCACCAGAGGAACAUCAUGGUGGCCAGAGAUGGUCGGAGGAGGAGAAAGUUAAGCAUUCAUCUUCAGCAGAUACAGGAAGUAGAGACCUAUUGGAGAUCCUGCAAGGCUUAAGAACUCUCUAAGCCCACCCCCAAGUGACAUGCUUCCUCCAGCAAGACCACACCUCCUAAAUCCUGCCAAAACAGCGCCACCAACUGGAGACAAAUGUCCAAAUAUUUGGAGCCCUCGGAAGAGUCUCAUUAAAACCACCACACCCGGGAACCUACAAAGUCCCAAUUUGUAUACAGGACAUCAAGGGCUCCAGACAUCAUGUUAAGUUUCCCUUUAAGUCACAACAGGAAUCAAGAACAAUGCCAUAUGGACCCCUCCCUGGGCAGCACACAAAGGCUGAAAGGCCCUAUCUUUUAAAAAGUGCUGUUCAUCUUGGUCAGCUGGCUCUGGCAGGUGGCGCCCAAACAGGGACCUGAAAAGUAGGGGAAAAAGUGAAGGAUACCGCUGGAGAAGUUGAUGAGUGCACUUGGUACGAUUGGGGAGCGGAUGCGGAUGGAGCCAGGUGGCUGCCAGAAAGGCUGGUGAGGUUCACCGGACGAGCACCAAAGAAAAAGAAGUGGAAAAGAAUGAUGAGGAGACAGACGUGGCUGAUGAUGAUGUUCCUGCAAGUGAUCUUGGCUGAGUUAUACUGGACUUAUGUUCCUGAUCCACAAUAUUGCACCUUGUGAUAUGGGAGGAAAAAGAGAUAGUAGUGACUGUGAAUGACUCUCGGUUAAUCACUCGGCCCGCUUUAAAACACCUGAUGAUGCAAGUGGUGACGAAUUUUAAUUAUUCGGGAUCGGGAAGCGGGUUGCCUAUUUGUUUUGUUAAAAAUGAUAAGUCCAGGUGUGUACAAGUAGAUGACUGUGUGCUUGUGGGACGAGGUGGAUACUGUACCAAUGCCAAAGUGCUACUGCCAAGAGUUAAUAGAGGGGAAAAUUUCUCCACAAACAUUUCCACCCUGUAAGCAGCAGCAGAUAUUCUAAAAAGGUUGAGAGCCACCUUACCAUCGUGGUCCUCUAUCAUUUCCAUUGUGUAUGGUUUAACAGGACUUGGCAUGCUUUUCCUCCUAUGUCCUUGUUUUCUUCCAGGGGUAGUAAAGCUAUUUAUGAAAUCUUUGUGGCAAGUCAAGGCUACUGUGCAUCAUAUGAGAUUGCGCUCCCUCCCCUAACAGAGGCUGGUAGUCAAAGACGUAGGUAAGAUCUUCUGGGAGAAAGUCAACCUAAGACAGGGCAUAGCGAACAGUGGCUGUCUGAUGUUCUGCAUAAAAAGGUGGAGCUAAAAUAAACCGGGGCUGCAGUCUCUACUGACGGUCCUCCCAAGGA